GGCCGGGAGGUGAGCGUCCCGGAGUCGGGCGGCCGCUCCGUUGACUGCAGGGCCCCGGCGGUCUUCCUCCGCUGUUCCGAGGCCGUUGAGGGCUGAUGUGCUCCAUCCUCCCACUUGUGGUUUGGCAAGCCAUCCAGCCGACUACAAACCCACGUUUGUGAGUUACCUGCUGGCUGUGACGCUUCCGUCAAAUCUGAGUAACAGUUUCCUCAUCUCUAAGAUGGGUAACAUAGUAUCUACCUCACAGGAUCGUGUGGGCAGUACAUGCAUAGAAAGGAUUUAACACGCAGUGUACUCAGCUAGUUUUAUUAUUUAUCCGUAAUGAUCAUUUGUUCUUUUCCCCUAACUGUGCCUCACAAGCAUGAAACAGAAUCCACCAAACAUUUAGGUCUGGGUAGUGGUUGGAUGGAAACCCAUCGCGGGUUAACGCUUCCAACACCAGUCCCUUGACACUCUCCCGCCGAGGAGGCUGAUUUGUAAACUUGCUGAGAAGAGAAUACCCAGCAGAUCUUUCAGACUAUCAAGAUCUCCACUUAGGGAAGUGGGAAUCUUAUUUGCGGAACAUUGGGCAGAAGCUUUGCCAUUGGCUGGUGGAGAAGGAGGAGGCAGAAUGUCUGCAUUGUUACACCAUACAGCUCAAACUUCAGAAGAUUUUGGGUUAAGCAGUUAUCAUUAGUCUGCAAAUGAUCGUGUUUUCACCUGAUCAUUAGAAACUAAUGAAACACCUUUUAAGUCUUAUGAAUUCAGGUUACACUGUUUUCCAGAUGCCUUGGCAGCUGGUACAGGGCCUCUGAAAAAUGGAACCAAAUUCUCUGAGGACUAAAGUCCCAGCUUUCUUAUCUGAUUUGGGGAAGGCCACAUUGAGGGGAAUCAGAAAGUGUCCCCGAUGUGGCACAUACAAUGGAACCCGGGGACUGAGCUGUAAGAACAAGACAUGUGGAACCAUAUUCCGCUACGGUGCACGCAAGCAGCCUAGUGUUGAAGCUGUCAAAAUCAUUACAGGCUCUGAUCUUCAGGUCUACUCAGUGCGGCAAAGAGACCGGGGCCCUGAUUACCGAUGCUUUGUGGAGCUCGGGGUUUCAGAGACAACAAUCCAGACAGUGGAUGGGACGAUCAUCACUCAGCUGAGCUCU
rnacentral:lncRNA from 1 species